GUUGCUAAAUUCACAUAUUCUUAAAUUGCUGAGAUCAUUGUCAUACUGGAGGUUUGGUCCACUUACAACAGUGAAUUGUUGCUGCGCUUUUAGCAGUCAGUCUGGCAGUAAGUAUUUUGCUUGCACAAGGAACAUCCGUCCAUAAAUCCAUCCAUUAAAACUGGAGUUCUGUGAUGUGCAAGCUUUUUUCCUUAUAUGAUAAGAUUUCUACUUGACAUAAUGCACGUUUAACUUCAUGUGACUAAUGUGCGUAGGUGUAACAGUGAUUUACUGUAUUUCGUAGUGAUGAUGAAAGCUAAAAGAAUCGGUAUGCCUUACCCAAGGAGUCCCAGAAAAUCUGAAUUUUAAACAAACAAAACAAGUGACUACCAUACUGAUACAUAGUGUUUAUUUAUUUCUGUUCAUACUUAUGAUAAAUGAACGCAGCGUGACAGUAACAGAAAAAGUGAGAUACAGUAAAUGGCUGUGUGGGUGCUGGAUUAUUCCCACUUGUAAAAUCUCUGAGUCCUUCUGCCUAACAGUGUUUCCAUGCAAAACAUUACCAGACAAAUUGUUCCACUUACGUCAGCGCUGCCACUGCAGCGACCAAUAAUGGCAAAUUCAUGGUUUAGAGGACAGAGGAGGGAGUGUUUUUUUUGACAAGAUGGAAAAGUAUUGGCAGAGAGAUGACAUGAUAGAAAUCCUAAGGUGAGAUCAAAUAUCUUUUUUUCACAUAGUUUAAGUAAGUGCAACAACGUUUCAACUUUUAUUGGCUCUUAAAGGCCAAGUCAAAUAGAAAGUGCCAUUAAAAGGAUCCCAUUAGGUUUUUCUGUUAAGGAAAGCCAUUGUUACAGUAGUGGAUGGUCGUAUUACACACAGCCACAUGAAUAUUAAUGUAUGUGCAAAGCUCAGGCUCUAAACACUCCUUUUUUUCUAUUCUUUACUCUCUGUGAUGUCACAGAAAGUGGAUAUCUUUUAUUUGGCCAUCUCACGCACACAGCUCUGGCUGUUGGCACAGAAGCACCACCAACUUGUGGUUCAAACCUCAAGUGCCAGGAGCAUCCAGUCAGAAGAAAUCUGACUUCACCAACUUCAUCUUCAGCCUCAUGAGCAGGUCUCACUGUUGGUUAUUGCUCCACGUACCACUGAGCAUUAAACCCAUCCCCAAUAUUCAACAGAUUUUUUUUCACCUGCUACCUGCACUCCUUAAAGUUAAGCUGUUGUGUGAAUUUUUAAAUACUUUAUACAAACAUACUUCAGUUUGUUGUGUUAGUGGUUGUUUUAGCAACAUUAAAAAAGCUGACUAGGUGGAAAAAAACUGGAGUAUAAGUGUGUGGCACCAGUUUAAAGGUUGUUUACUAACAUUUAAGAUAUACUAUUAAGGUUUUUUUAGAUUAAAAAAUGUGUUAGGAUAGCAACCUUUCAUUUAAAUAGGAGUUGGUGACGCAGUUAAUGUACUGCUGUCAAGAGAACACAGAGAAUGACAUCCUGCCUUUUUUUUAGAUCAAUUAAUUGUUCUUAUACGGUUAAGGCAGCUAAAUAUUUAUACAUAUAGGGUUAAAGCAACUAAACACUUGGUCAGUAAACCGCUAACAAUCAAGAUUUCAUCCUGCUUUAGAUUUAUGAGAAGGCAAGUAAUGCAACAGCCAUCAAAACUGAAAAUUACGGUGUUACACAGUCAUGUUUGCACAAGAUGCAAUCUGCAAUACUGGUUUCAUGCAUUUCAGGCCCACCAAGCCACUGAUAAAAAUGAAGAUAAAAUGCCUUGAACAUUCAGAAAUACUACAACAGCAACGCAGUCAAAAAGCCCAUCUGAGCAUAUAAACAGCAUAGGUCAUAAUUUGGUUGUAAAUUUCACUAUGGGCUAUUUGAAAGGCACAACACUGGUGCCUUUUAAAGGAAAGAAAAUGGGAAAAGAUGGAUUUGUGUUCUAUUUCACUGUCUCAGAUUUGUUUAGGAAAGUCAUGGGACAUUUCAACUGGUCAAGCCAGAGAUUGGGAGCUUUUCAGGUACUGGAAAACAGGCCUAUUCACUGGUGGAUUGGAAGAGUUUGUUUGCUAAUUACUCCAAAUCAGCAAAGUAUAAUAAUGUUAAAGGUGUCAGUACACAGCUACAACAUAAACUGUAGACAAAGAUGACAGUACCAUACUACAUGUCUUCAGGUGAUAAUUCAUAAAGACUUGCUUUUUUUUAACUAUAACAUUCAAAGAGUAGCAGGAAAUGUGAAAAACACCCAUUGUCUUUAUGGUAUGGUAGAAUGUUUAGUGCCAUAUCCCAGCUGUACAACACAUAUUUGAUUCCCACACAGACACUAAAGAUAGACUGCCAUGCUAUUCAUUCUGAUAAUAUGUGUAAUGGCUCCUUGACUCAUAUAUAGACUCAAUCUCCCACAAUCCUCCCACAAUGAGCACUCUGCUGAGCCAGCAUUUCUCAACGUCUUACUUUCUCUCUUGAUUUCUGUGCAUGUACUCAGCAGAGCUACGUGGCAGUCAAGUAAACAGGCUUGUUUUUCUGUUUUGGAACACCUAAGCUAAUUUCUUGGUAACUGUUUUAUUAAAACUGUUGAAAACAACCUAAUUUAAAAAAAAAUAUAUAUAUAUAUGUAAUUUAUUUUUUAAUCCUUAUUCUGUGUGUGUACGUGUGUUUGUGUGUUUGUGUGCUGUACUGUGACGUCUUGAACUUUCUUGAUAAAGCAGAUAAAGUUUCAGUUUCUGUGGAUUUUUGUUUUCUUUGCAUGUUUAUCUGUGGCAGCUGUUCAUAUUGACUUCUUGGUUAUUUCUUUUUUUUUUAAAUCCACCAUUUUCAGGGUGAAUUUUACCCCAGAGACAGUUGGCAUGUAGGGAAAGUCUUUCUCUGUAAGUUUAAUGAUGAUCACAUUAUUUGGAGUUUGUAAGAAAGUCAUAGCUCAUUGCACGUCUUUGUUAACUCAGAGGAGUCUGUAGAUUUUUACAGGGUAAUAGCUUCCCAGCUUCUUCUGGGUUGUGAGAUUAUUUGGUAUGGCAAGGUUUAAGAGUGGUUCCCAAUUAGUUGAUCUACUUUUAUUCAUACUAGAAUGCCUUGGCAAUUUGAAAUGGCUUGAAUUCUUGGUCAAGUUUAUUUGUAAAGCACUUUUACCAAGGCUGACCAAAGUGCUUCACAGGCAGCCAGUAUAAAAUGAUAUCAAUAUUAAUGACAAGAAUGAUAACUAUACGAUAUCAAGGCUUAGCUUAGCUUAGCUUGAAUUAAAGGCCAGAGGCAGAAUGGAGUCUUGAGCAAAGACUUAAAAAUAGAAACAGUUCUAUUAUCAAAUGGUAAGGUAUUCCAACGACACGGGGCAACAACUUAAAAAGCUCGGACACCUCGGUUUUUAAGUCUAGAUCUUAGAAUAUUGAGGAUCAGCUGAUUACCAUACCUCAUGGCUCUUACAGGAGUGUGUUCAUUAAUAAGCCAAUCAAGAGAAACGAUCAAUAAACCUUAAUAUUAAUCCUAAAAUUAGCAAGGAGCUAAUGAGUGCAGCUAAAACUAGCGUAAUAUGUUCAUGUUUUCCCGUCCCAGUUAAACGUCAAAGAGCGUUUUCUACUAGCUGAAGCUAGCGAAGUGAUGACUGUGGUAAACCUACAUAGAAAGGAUUACAAUAAUCUAGUCAUGUCAUGAUAAGAGCAUGUAUAACUCUAAGUCAUUAUAAGAAAGGUGAUACUUUGAUUUUCUGUUGGGCUCCACAUGGUUUCUGUUUGGACAGCUUACAUUAUGUAUUUUGCUGACUUCUCAAAUGAAACAAUAGCCAGUCAGGUAGCAACUGGUGGGCUUAUUUUACUUUAAGUCACAAAAAUGAUGACUGAUUUCCACUUAUGCUGACACACACUGCCCAUUUAACCUCACAUGACUCAUUUCUUCAGCUGCCUUUGUAAAUGUGAUUUACAGUGGCAUGGCAGAAAGUCAAGGGGUUGGCAAUUUGGGGAAAUCUGUAGGGUGCUUACUCGGGUUACGGCUUUCCCAGUUCAUAUAUUUGAAAUGUUAUUUGAUGACCAAUCCUUAAAGCGCUAUAAACAUGGUUUUAACACUUUAUUGUUCUUCUAGUAAGCCUAACUUCAAAAACCAGUUCAUGCCCCCACAUUUAUAGGUAUGGACACAAAAUAAACAGAUCUAAACACAGAGCAGCACGAGCAUAAGCAUAUUCUUUUUUCUUCGUCUAUUUUCCACAUAAAAAUGAUAUUAUUUCAGUUUACGUUCACUCUUUUAUUUUCCCUGGUCAUUCACACCACACUUGCAGUGGCUUUAUUCCCCACUAAUUGGACGUGAUAUACACUUUUACACACACUGUCUUAAUUUAAGAUUAUUAGCAUUGUACAUACACCAGCACUGUUGUAUUAAGCACUAACAAGAUGAAGUUGACAUGUAGCCUAGCUUUUAGCUAAAUGCUACAUGGCUAUAUGGUCUUAGGCCUUACGACUGUAGCACGUUUUGCUCAUCAAUUGAAAUGGGAGUACUGAGACGAUAUGGUUCGGUUGCUUCAUUUGAAAUAAACAGAAAACAAUUCAAGUUUCACAGAGCAGCUAAGUUUCCUAUCUCCCUUUUAAUAAACUGCCGUAACUGAAGCAUGUGCUAAUGCAUGCCGAAUGGUCUUCUACCAGAGAUUACCAUAUAGAGCCUGCAUUGUAGCGGUAAUGCUGCAAAACUGUCAUAUCCUGUUCAUCAGCAAUAUACAGUAAUUAACCAGCCUGAACUACAGUAGCAUCCGGUGUAAUCUUCUGCUACUGCCAGUAUGACUAUGCACAAUUUGCAUGAGACAUCAUGCCCAAGUCUAUACUUGUCUCUGUCUAUGGGUAUAUAAUAGGGGUAUGUGUGAGUGUGUGUGCGUGUGUGUGUGUGUGUGUAAGUGUGUUGGGAAAAGUGUGGGAACUGCAGAGGAGGAAACGUGUAUUUACGAAGUUGGCUCAAAGUUCCCAUGAAUUCCUCCGGAUAGGAGAUGGAGCUGGACGUGGGGGGUUGUAUUACAAUAACCCCAGAGGCAAACUGAUUCAUAAUGUCAGUGCAAACUGUAAUGGAGUAUGUCAGGCGAAAAGUUACUGUAGAUGCGUAGAUGGAUAUAAAAAACAAAGAAUUAGCAAUAGGGUGAUACACUUUCAGAAUGAUCCAGUAAUUUUUUCCCACUUUAUAUGUUGUAUUAAUGCUCUGUUAAUAUGUAUUAAUGCCAGGCAAGGUGACAAGUUUCUAAAUGUCACCAAAAGUGCUGGUCAAGAUAAAAAUGCAAAUGCUUAAGGGCUCUGAUAAAUAAAACACAUUCACGUGAAAUAAAGCCAUUUCCUUAAAAGCAAUGAUGGAGGAUUUAAAAGAAAUCACACCAAGUGGCUUAAAGCUUGUGCCCAGCCUUGUUUGUUUCCUCUGAGGUUAUUGCUAUUGUGAUUCAUCGGUCAUUACAGUUCAUCAGACUUAUUGUCCUAAAGUUGCACUUUCACCAUCAGUCUUAUUCCCAGUUUUGACCUCAGAGAUCUACCGAGUUUCACUUGUGCAAUUAUAUAUAGCUUGUACAUUGAUGCUGCACUUGCAGACACUUCCUAAAUCACAAGUGGUAACUGGGCAUUUAAGGAUUAAACAUUUUUGAGAAAUGCUCUAAUCUUGUCACCUUGUUGAACCUGAAGAAAAAGCCUAUAAAUAACUUUGAAGUUAACAAGUUUUACAUGUUUAUAAGACAUAAAAAUAUGGUUGUUGGUGACUACAUACACUCACCGGCCACUUAAUUAGUUACACAUUGCUACUACUGAAUUUGAUCACUUUUUGCCUUCAGGAUUACCUUAAUUCUUCCUGGCAUAGAUUUAAAAAGGUGCUGGAGACAUUGAUCUGAGAUUUUAGUCCAUAUUGACAUCAUACCUUCACACAGUUUCUGCAGAUUGUUCAGCUUCACAUGCAUGAUGCAGAUCUUCUUUUCUGCCACAGUCCAAAUAUGCUCUAUCAGAAUGAGAUCUGGAGACUGUGGAGGCCAUUUGAGUCUAGUGAACUCAUGAUCAUACUCAGGAAACCAGUUUGAGAUGAUUGGUAUACCCUUUAUGAUCACAGCAUAACCACAGAUGGGUAUGCUGUGAUCAUAAAGGAACAGACAUUUUCAGCAGCAAUGCUCAUGUUGGUUGUGGCAUUUAAUGAUGUUCAGUUUGUACUAAAGAGGCCAAAGUGUGCCAGUAAAAUAUCCCUACACCAUUACCCCAUCACCCCAAACCACUGAUACAAGCACAAUGGAGCCAUGCUUUCAUGCAAAUUGUACCCCCAGUGUUCUGUUUUUAGCUGACAGUUGUGGCACCAGGUGGUGUCUUCUGUUGCUGUAUACUGCAUACUUUUGUAAUGAGUGGUUAUUUGAGUUACUGUUGCCUUCCUGUCAGUUCAAAGCAGUCUGGCCAUUCUCCUCUGACCUCUGACAUCAACAAGACAUAUUUGCUCAGAGAACUGUGAGAACUGGAUAUUUUUUCCUUUUCAGACACUUCUCUCUAAAUCCUAGAGAUGGGUGUUCAGGAAAAUCUCGGUAGACCAGUUUUCUAGAAAUACAAACGUUUAAAAAAAGUGUAGGGUUGAAAAUUGGAAUUUUCAAGUAUUUCAGUUAGUGUCCUAUAAAGGGUUAACGGUGUUCUAAACCAAAAGUAAAAAUUAUAGCAUGUUAGGCAACCUGUUGUGCAUAAGAUAAUUAUCUAGUGUAAUCAGGAAAUUGUUCCUUUGUAGAACAAUUUGGUAGAACUUUGUUUACUAGAGACCCAAUUAGUUACUUUUUUACAAUUCUCCUUAAGAACACAGCAAGAUUCUUUGUGGUUAAUAAGUGAGGUUUAGAGUUGUCAGUGGGCUUUUGUCCUGCUACAGUACUUUCAGUACAGUUCAGCUACACUAAACAUGUGCUCAGUCUAGUGCUACCUUUAAAGCUAACCUGUGUAGUAAAGCCUGCUGGUCAGAACAAGUAAUGGUGUACAAUCUACUGAAGUUGGGAAGAUUGUCUUUUAUUGCCAGCAAAUCUAUCAAAUCUAUUUAAAAAAUGUCAUUCUUUUAUGAAAAAGUUAUAGACCUAGUUUUGAACUGGUGGAUAUCAGACCAAUAAGCUUCAAACAUGCAACUGUUGAGCUAUUUCUUUAUCCAAGGCACUUAGCCUGGUUUCUCCAGCCCUUUAGCUUGUGGGUGUGAAGGAAAGCAACUCCCCCAACACAUGAAAGCUAAGAGACCAUGCCCCUGGGAAUUCUGGGAAAAGGGAAAACUGUCUAGUUGUUGUGCCAUUUUCUCAUGACACACACUGUGGGGUCGGCUCAUGACAUGCCUUCUCAGGCUUUUUCCUAAAUACACAUACACAUGUUUGCACUUUAAGGCUUGUGAGGACUCUCAGUGAGAAAAGGAAUUACAAAGCACAUUGGAGAAACUUCAAUUAUAACAACUAAAUUCCUAACCCCCACCUGAACCCUUGGACAGCACACUGAAGGUCUGUCUCAGUGUGCUGUCUCAGAGUUAGGACAAGCGUAAACAGCCUCAGUUUCAGUGGUUUUUUGUUUUUGAUUUAAAUUAGUUCUCACAAAGAUGGACAGACACACUCUUUUCCUGCUUUAAAGGAAAAGAGUUUGAAGUGGAAAGUAGAUAGAUGGCAGGUUAAGUGUGUGUGUGUGUGUGUGUGUGUGUGUGUGUGUGUGUGUGUGUGUGUGCACUCAGAAGUUGGCCAGUCAUUAGUAGAGCUCUGUGCGUUGGAGGAAGUGGUGGUUACUGAUGACUCAGCCGAGCCAUGCAUUUCAUUCUUUCUCUCUCCAGUCUCUCUGUGCUCUCUCCUCCCUCUGUCAUUUGCUUUGCUCUUUACAUUCUAUUCAUUCUUCUUUUCUAUUCUGGAUCUUUAUUUUCUAUUUUACUCUCACCCUUUCUGUCUCUGUCCACCACCUUUUCUCUCUUCCCCCUGAUUCAUCUUGACCUUUGGAGACAUCUCUGAGUGUGUAUUUUUGUGUGUAUGUGUGUGUGUUUGUGUGUGUGUGUAUGAGAGAGUGUGCAUGUGCUGUGUGUCUGCCUUACUAGGAUAUUCAGCAAUGUGAGUGGGAAGAUAACUGGCUUCCUUCAGAGUGAUUAAAACAUUCCUUCUUCUUUUUCCUCUCUCUCUUUCUUUCUCUACCCUUUUAGUUCUCAUUGACUUUCUGAUGAAGAUGAGGAUGAGGAGAGACAAACUGGACUGUCCAUGAGGUCUGGGGUCAGCUUACUUACACAUCUUUUAGGUCUAAGACGCAGGAUUGAGAAACAGUUUCACCGCAGGACUAUCAGACUGGUUUCCACCACAUUCACCCAUCCUGACAAGCGGUGGGGAAACCACCCCAGCAAAGCUCAUCUGUAUGCAGCCAGUUAUGGCCACCAGUGAAUGUCGGCCGUGUCUUGGGAGGCAGAUGGGACUGUAUGCUAAUGAGAAGGUUAGUGCUGAAGUGUCCUUGGGCAAAAUACUGAACCCCAAAAUUGCCCCCUACAUCUGUCUGUAAGCAUGAUAGUUAGAAAGUGCUUAAAGGAAACCACUCCCUAUAUUGAGAGAUACAACGGAUGUUACUUUUCUUUCAUGAAAUAUAUCAAAACCUAAUGAGGUUAGAAUUAGAACAAUUACGCAUGUCUGUCUGGAACAGCUCUUUUAAAAAACAGCCCCAGAAAUGGAAUCGCUCAGGAGCUCUCAUGACACAUUUUUUUUAUUUUGCAUUUCUGGAUUUAGAGCAUGUGUCCCUAGAUUUCUCUUCUCAUCUUGUAUUUGAUCUGUUUUUGGGGCCAGUGAUUUUUUUUCUCUUCCUUUCACAGGAUUCUUUGCAGUUUACUUCUCUUUGGCUAUCUUGGUUUAAAAGCAAAGACUAAAUUAGUACAGAUACAUUUCUUUUUAUCUUCCAAGAUCAUGACUAAUAGGCAGAGAAAAGCUGUUGCACUUCAGUUCUCACUGUAAAUGGAACUUAGUCUUCAUAUGCAACAAAACUGCACAAAUUUCCUGCUCUUUUUGUCUUUACAAAAACACACAAAAAAAGCUUUAAGCUUUGCUAAAAUUCAUCUUCCUUGAAAGAGAGAGAGCUACAGCUCCAUACAAGGUGCAUGGAAAAGAGCACAAAGUCUGAAGAGGUUAAAGCUCCAGCAGUGCUUUUAAUAUAAAGAACAGCUUCAGUGCAUUUCGGCUUAAUCGAGCACUGACAUUGUUCUUUAAAAGCAAAAUAACUUGUAUCCUAAGAAAAUUCUGUCAUGGCUCCUGGGUCAUUGACUCAGUAUUUUGAGAUUGUUCUCUUAUUUCAGUUAAGAUUUUUCUUAUCUAUGAUAUCCAGUGUGCUUAUAAUUAUGUUUGGAUUUUGUGCUUGAGUUCUAGUUUCCUGAAUAGAAUAGAAUAGAACAGAACAGAACAGAACAGAACAGAAUAGAAUAGAAUAGAAUAGAAUAGAAUAAUCCUUUAAUUGUCCCACAAGAGGAAAUUUGGUGUAUCAGCAGCAAAAACACACAUAUACAAACAGAACAGGACACAGAAUAGAAACACAAUGUUUACAUAUUCACAUCAUGGACAAUAGUUGCCAAAAUUUGAGGUGAUGUUUUUUUUAUUAGCAUUCUGCUUUGGGUAAUUUGGUAUAGUGUCUUGUUAUUUUCCGUAGCCUUCCCUCAGUGUAGGAGUUCUAAUGUGUCAUUGUUUCCUUAUUUUGCCAGUCCCUCAUCUUCAGUUUUGUGGUUUCUUGUCUUGUUAGUUAAAUUCUCUUCACCUGUGCCUCAUUUUCCACAGCCGUGUCCUCUCCUCAGAUACUUUGUGUGUUUUUAAGCCUUCAGUUUUCCUCAGUUCCUUGUCGUGUUCUCCUACGUGCUCUGUGCGCCUUCCUUCUGUGGUUUCCCUUUUGACUCCAAGAUUGCACUUCUAGCUCCAGCUUAGUUUUGUUUUGCAUUUCCUUGAGUCCCAGUCUCAUGAGUUUACCUUUACUCUGCAUACUGGGUACUAAAUCUGCCUAACACACAGCAUAUCGUGAUAAAUUCAAUCUGCUGUCACAAACACACAAACGGCAUCAAUUUAAAGAUACAAAUUCUUAAUUUAAAAGGAGUGCCUUUGGUUGUUAUCGCAUCAAAAAAAAGUGUCAAGAUGAAUACUAAACUUAAUUUUCUUAAUGAUUCAUUUGGCAAUCUGUCAAAACCGAAACCUUUCAUAUUUAAAAGUUAGAAAGCACAGCGAUGAUGCCAUUAAAUGAACUGAUUAAUAUUUAUUUAUUUAUUCAUACAGAGAUGCAAUAAUGUUAAAUAUCUUAACACAUUCAGUUUUAUUUUGAUAAAUGCACUCGGUAGGAGCUAAAUGCAGAUCCACUAAAGCAAACAGGGAAGACAAAGCACCCACUCAUCCAUCAGACUGGUUAAUCUAGUCCUGUACCUUCAGUAAAUUAUUCAUCAAACUUGUGUUUUUGUCCUGAGAGAAAAGAAUCACUGGAGUGAACGGGCACUCCCGUUGUAUACCGCUUUCUUCAAAAAGUUGUUUACUUUUGAGGAGAAGCAGAUUGUGGUUAAAGUGCUGCGAGUGUGAGCAGUUUGAGCUCUGGGGCUAUUGUACAAAUUAGUAAGGGUAUUUAUAUAACGGAUAUAAAACACUAUGUUUUUUCUCAGUGUCCUGAGAUCCGACCUUAUGCAGCUAUGCUUUUGACAAUAAUCUCAAACCCUAAAAAUGCAGCUUGAGCUGCAUGCUGAAAUGUCUUUCACAGCAAUACCGAGUCUGAAACUAAGUGGGCCUCCACUUUAAAAGGGCAACAGACUAAUUUAUCUCCUUAGCUCUUAGCAGAAUGAUUAACAGCAUCACCAAAGCAAAAAAAUUUCUAGCCGUCCGGCCUGUAAUAGGUGCAGUGUGAGGAGAAAGGGUGGGUUAUAAAUGGAAGACUGUAAUUUAUCUUGUUGCACGUCUUACAAAGUCUUUAAUCACAGUGUUCACCUAUGGUACUUUAAGAUGGCUAAAGACAUUCAUCCUCAGGAGGAGAUCCUGUCAGUUAGGGGACAACUGUAGAAAUUUGUCUUAAUAAUGUGGUUGUGUACACUUUGUAUACUGUGUCUGUUUUAUAUUGUGCAAACUUACAUAAGAGAGCUCAGUUUCCGGGGAUUUUAGCUGUGUCGUUUCUCCCAAAACUAAUUUUAAAUAAAAGCCAAGAGCAGAACAUUUAUAGUUGUGUAAAAUGCUAGUGGCAGCUGCUCUUUAAACAUAGUGUGCAGAGACGAGCAGGAAAUACAAAUUAUUACAUUAUUUGUGAAAAAAACCCCCAGGUGAUUUUAGAAAUUCCUUGCUGCAAGUGGAUCUGUAUUAGAAAACAUGUAUUUCUUGCUGAAAUAAGACAUAAAUUAACAAAAAUAGUAAAAAUAAUAAAUGAACUGGAGACUGGAAACAUGAAGGACGAGUCUUAAUGAUCAGCAUGUUGUGUUAAAAAGUAACCUCAAUCAAACGGAAAACAUAUGGUUCAUCCUCAGUUAAAACACUUGCAACUAAGCAUAAGGUUUCCAAAAAAUUCAUCUGCUAAAGGCCUUAAGCGUAAAUGUCUGCUAACAGCUUUCAUCUUUUUCCAUCUUUUCCACCGAUCCACAAAGCUAGGGUUCCUAUUGUCUGUUGUGUAGCCAAAACUGUAAGGCUCUUUCUUCAGACAGAGCCACAGAAACACUUUGUUUUAGUCUGUUUAGACUGUGCAGACAGGGUCCAUUGUGACUUAGCACAGCAACCGUCAUCCUAAUAAUUAGCCUUAAAACUAAAUCUGAUAUGGUAAAUUCUGUUUAAGCAAGUACAAGUUUCAAAAACUUUAACCUUGACCCCACAUGCAUUAAACUUUGUUUUUAAUUAUGAAAAAGUACUUAUUAUUUUAACAACUCCAGAGUUAGAGCGUGACAUUCAAUGGAAAGUAAAUAAUGUCAGGCCUGUAAUAUUUUACUGACUAUAAUUUAACUGUAUUUCUUGGCAGAGAUUAUACUUGUAUGCUCAGUGGGGUGUUAUAAGAUUGUGUAACAGAAGAAAUAACCACCAAUUUAAAAUUGGUUAAUGCCUUUGACUUAGAAGCUCACAGUGAGCGUUCACUUUUUCAGCCCUGCACUGGAAGUAAUUACUUAUUGUCUUCAGUAAAAAACUGCAACUCUAGAAGUACAAGUUUAAGAGUAGUUACUACAGAACUCCAAAGGGUUCACAAGCUUUUUCUUGAAACUGUUAUCAUCUUACAACAGUUUAUGGUGCAGACUGUUUCCUCUAUAUUGAGGUUCUUUUGAACCAAUAGUUUAUGCAACAGUUUUUCUCUUUAGACGUCUAGGCUAAUAACUUAGAUCUCACCUGCUUCAGAGCUGGUAAGGCUUGUGAGAAGUCUCAGAUAAAUUAAGGAUGAACAAGCUAAUCUGUUAGAUUAAAUGGUCAGGGUAAAGGUAGCUAUCCAAACUUUUCUCCAGGUUCCAAUUAUUAGUGGAAUACACACACGCACAAGCUACUGUAGCAUGGUACAUAUUCACCUAUAAACAGAUUGCCAACGUAUUAUGCCUAGUAGUCUGGACAAACUGGUGUAAACAAGAAAAUGAAUAGAUGAUGGGAGGAUAUCUUUGAAAAGUGAGUGUCUUUUUAAUUAUUUUCAUGUCCAAACCUAACCUAAUUGCUGUGGCUUUGUCUGUGGAAAAAGGAAGGGAAAAGAAACGACAUACACCAAUAAGUUUAAUAAGAGUGGAGAAUCAUCUCUGGAUUGUGAAUUACAUUGUAUUUUUAGUCAUGAUCACAGCCCAAUUUUUCCUUUGUUUUGAUGAUCGUUGCCGUGUGUGUGUGUGUGUGUGUGUGUGUGUGUGUGUGUGUGUGUGUGUGUGUGUGUGUGUGUGUGUGUGGAGCCAAAGUGGGAAGCUACAGAGAUGUUGGACAAUUUGACACAGAUGUUUCUGUGAAUUUAUAAACACUAGGUUGUAGUAAAGAAAUAACAUCCACUACAUUUGCAGUCCAGUUGUUUUUUUUGUCUACACUUGUGUUUGUGUUUGCAAAGGCGGUACUUAUCUACUCUAAGUGCACAGAAGCUCACUUUUCCUAAAGUUUGAAAAAGUUAAGUCUCCUAACUUUGCUAAUGACUACAUAUGAACAGUUGAGAACCGAAACAUUUUAGAGAUCAAAUUGUGCGGUAGCCUACGUUUCAGUGGCAUAAUUUAGCUUUAUACAUAGCUCAUAAAAUGAUACAUUUCAUAAACUUUUGUGAACUCUACAGACAUGUCUAAAGAUUAAAAACCUACAAACUUUAAACUGUAGCUGUAUACUUUCUGAUAAAGAACUUUGCAUGUCUUUAUGCUGUUCAGUUCUAGUAUCUAAAAAGGAAAUAUGAGCAGAGCGUCACUCCCAACGUUUCAGAUACAGUCACAGUUUACUGCACUGGGCUUGGAAUCAAUUUUUAGCAUGCAGGGCAGGAGACGUUGCUUUCAAGUAUAUUUUUGGGUGAAAAAUUUUGAAUAGGUGUAUAUUAGAUCUUUUUAUAGUUUUGUAAUUGAAAUUAAUUUUAGCAUUAUAGUAGGUUAAUAUGCUAAAACAACAGUCUACAGAAUAUUGCCAAAGGAUAUGUGUCAUAAAGCGCAGACUGAACAGAAUCAGAAACGGAGCAGCCCUGGGUUCCUCGGCGGCAGAUAUUCAGAUACCUUCCAGUUCUCUCCCUUACUUCCUACUACUACUUCCUUAUGUGGCUCAAACACUGAUAAGUCACCUUAUGAGGCCUCGCGAUGCUAUGCGUCAAUAGCCCAUGAAGAAAGCCUGAGGGUGCAGGUGCUCUGUCUGCCACUGUGUUCAGAGCUGUAUGUGGAUUACUCUUGUGUAAUAUCAUCACACGCACACACAAGCACACCGUUCGCCUGAGACGAAUUCUAAUCGCUCGAAUUUGAAACACUCCGUGUGAGAUAAAUGCAACAUUUCUAAAAUAGCAAUCGCUGUGACCAAGAUUCUUGUGCUUGACACAAUGAGAUACCUUCCUUUCGUGUUUUAUUUACACCUUUUAACAAAAUACACUGAUUAACUAAAGAAUAUGGAGUAAACAUACUCAUAAAAUAUUCAACAUAAAUCUAACUAGUUCUAAUGAUUAAAUGUGGCCAGAAAACAAAAUGAAAUGGCAAGUAAAACUUAAACUGGUUAGUAAUAUUCCUCCUGCAAAUUGAAGAGAUGAUUCAGCCGCCACUCUGGUUAAAAGGGAGUAGGCUUCUGCGUUCAGAUGUUGGAGACACUUACAGCUUUGAUAUGAAUUUGAUUUUAAUGUCAGCCUGAUACAUACAUUACUAUGCACCAACCUUCAUCAGUAAUGCAGUGUGUAGUAGCCCGAGAAAGAGCUCAGAGUUAUAAAAAAAGAUGCUGCUAUUUAAGCAGUCCUGUGAAUUGUUUGAUGAAGUUCUUUUCACAACAACAGUUGUGAAGUGGUAGUAAAUAAAUCUAGUAGCGCUUUAUAAAUAGAUUGAUUUUUGAUGAGUUUAGAAAUGUUGUCAGUGUGGUAUCAGUUGAGAGGGAGACAUGCCCUCAUCUCCUAGGAUUUGUAAGUCUAACUAAGACAUUUGAUCCUUCAAAGGAAAAUUUCCAAAGGCUUUUAGAAAAUAAUCAGACGUUGAGCAUGAACAUAACUGAAAAUGUGUAAUUGUAAUUGAACUCAGCAAAUGCAGCUCAGGUUGUGCUGCAUAUAACGAGAAUGCACACGUGGUGCCAACUACAACAAGUGCUGUAGCUAACUUAUAAGGGUUUAUUCUAAAACAUUUAUUUUUGAUGUUGGAAAACGUAUUGUGAUUGUGUUGCAUUGUGUGCUUUUCUAACUACAGUACUAAUGAUGCCUAAUAAUAUCAGAUGACCGCUUAAUGCAGCGUCUCCUUAUGUUUUAACAGUUUCUUUAUGUCUUUUCCUACACUUCAUCAUUUCCAUGUUUUCCAUGUCUUGCCCUGCAUCCUAACAAUAUUUUUCUCUGGGUUUGUUCCAGUUGAGAUGUUGCUGAGGCACUUUGUGGUUAUGACCUCAUCAUCAUGAGAUGGAAAGGCUGGUGACUGCAGGCAGCUACAGAAGAGGUGGUGCUGUGUUGUGGUUUGCAGCUGCUGGUUCUUGGCAAAAUAAAUUGCACUGUGGAGAUGCCUCAGGGAAUUAUUUGCUCAAAGGUUGAAAGGAUGAACAAAAAAAGGAAUUCAAGAGGUAUUUGUGAUUCAGACUGUGUUUGUCUGUAGUUGUGACUUAGAUGUAUCUCAGAUCAAAUUUCGUAAUCGAUGGAGAAACUGUUUUUAAAAAAAUAUUUAUUUAUUAUUUUUAAUCAGAAAUAUCUUUUUACACCAGCGAUUAAGUUCCACAGUUUAAGGACUAACUGGUCUGGUUGACUGACACUGCUGAGUAACACUACAGUGUUUUAAAACCAUUAACAGGCUGCCAUUCAUGGGGCGAGUGGGCUUCAUGGCUAUUGUCACACAUUACAACCACGUAGUAAAAUUUUAAAAAGCCGUUAUUGCUGAGAACAUGUCAUUCAUCAGAAAUGUGCACACAUUUUACAUGAUAGGAACUGUUUUUUCCCCACUUCUCCUGAAAUAUACUACAUCAGGAAAAAAUGGUUUUUACCCUAAAAUUCCCAUGUUUUGAGCAGGGUUUUGAAAAAUUUUCCGUCCUGAGUCAUAGGUAUGACUUCAGCAAUGUUAGGGAACUUCUUUAGAUGGUGUUAAAGAGCUUAACAGGCGCCUCCUUGUAGGAAUGUAAUGACUGCGCUUCUGUUUGGAGAAACCCCAGAUCUAAAGAGCUCCUCUUUUCUGUGUUUUAAGAGAAAGAUAUACUCCUCUCUUUUCUACUUUUUAAAUGUAUCCAUACUCUUGCAUUCAUAGGAAUUGGCAUUAAAACGAGUGGAUAGAAACUACGUGAAAAAUGAGUCAUGCCUAGAAAACCCUGACCCUAGAAAAUGUUGAUAUACACCGGUUUAUUCCCUUAACUAUAUAAAGAUUGGUGCCUGAAUUUUUUUUUCUGCAUGUGUAAGAUUUGUAACAUGUAACAUUUCCAUUCUACAACAUGAAGUGGGAAGACUACAUGUAGUCUUGUACCUACAAUCUUGAAUUUCAAGACCUGAUGUGGAUGCUUGUCUCACCUACUUUUUCCCUGUACUUGUUUUGCUCUAACAUUACCAUUAAUUAAUAAACUAAUUAUCUAGCCUAUGGAAUUGAUACAUUUGGCUGUUAAUUAUUAAAAAAGAAGCACACACUAUUCUUAUGGGCCAAUCAAUAAUCUAAAAGAAGCUUUGACAAAUCAACACUUUUAAUAGUCAAUUAAUAGUCAAUAUAUGACCCCACACCCCUGCACACACACACACACACACACACACGCACACACACACACGCACACACACACACAUAGAAAAAAAACAUGAAAACAUGACUUGGUUUAGUUUGACCUCUGUUACAUUGAGGCAGUGAUAUUUGAGUGCUGAGCAGGAAGCAGGUUCUCACAGCCGUGUCUUUUUCCCCAUGUUGAAAAUGGUGGCACAGAAUGUAAGAUUGUAAUGUAUGAAGUACCAAGGAAAUUUUGCUAUGAAAUAAAAAAAUUUAAUAAAAUGCAGUUUUUCUUAAGAGUCAUGGAGUUUUCAGGUAUCAUGUUUAGGAAAUGCUUCAGUGAAGUGAUACUUUUUAAAGCAAGUGGGUGAUUGAUCGGUGAACUGAGGAGUUUAAUGUGGCAUGGACAUUCAGGUUCAGGUGUAAUUUCUCGCACAAUAUGCCGAUCAGUAUGGUACAUACAAAAGAGUGGACAGGAAAAGAGCUCAGUUUGUUCAUAUGGGUAAUGCAGACAAAAAAAAUACAUUUGCAGUGUGUGUGUGUGUGUGUGUGUGUGUGUGUGUGUGUGUUUGUGUAUUGUAAAAGGAACCGUGUAAACUUAAAAGAGGGACAAAGACCAAAGAAGGAAGAGUGCAUGUGAAAAAGAGAAAGACAAAGUGGUGAGAGAGGGCGUAUAUCUUUAGCUGCCUAUAAAGCUCUGCGUGCUUCUCAUUUUAGGCAGAAGUGAAUCCUGGCUGUAAGAAAUGAUGACAAUACACUAAUAAAGCAUCUCAAACUGAGGAACUUGUCUGUUGUGUUUGUUGGUACACUUUAAGGAGCCACAGUUCACAUUUCAAUAAAAGAUGUUCACAUUCUGUACAUUUGGUUUAGUUCAUUCAGUUCACAUUCCUUUUUCAGUUUGUUUUAACUGGACUGGCAAGUAUAACUGGAAAGGAAAGAAUAACUGAGAUGUUUACUACAAAUUGGGUAUCUCUUUCCUGAUCUAUUAAAAUAUUUAUGAUGACAAAGCUUCAAAUGGAUAGGUGGCACACGUUAAUGUGAAUAUCAGUGUUAUUCAGGGAGUGUUGCUUCCUCUUGGCUAGGACAUAGAGUGCAAUUGUUGAUAGCUUCAAAUGUAAACCGUGUUCUCACACUUUUAGAUGGACACUUUGGCUCCCAAAUAUAGACCUUUUUUUUUUUUUUUUACAGCAUUGGCACUUAGAUCAAUUGAGCUACAAGUGCCAUGAUUAUCUCAAUUCUUUUCCUGGACCAUGAACUGACUUGUGAAAAUAAACAAAUAAAGUGUUGUUUUUGUUUUUGUACAGAUUAUUUUACAGAUAGAUUAUGACGAUCAUUUUCAUUAUUAUUAUUAUUAGCUAUUUUUGUCAUCACCACCACCUGUGCUUAUAGAUAUAUGUAAACCACCACCUCCUGUGCUGACUUUUAAAGUAUUUAAUAAAAACUAUAAAAAUGAGGUGGGACGUUGGACAUGCCAAAACAAUCACACAACAGUUUUACCAUUACCAGUGAACUGCAAGUGAGGCUAAUAUGAUUAGUUUGAGACAAAUAUGCAUCCAUAAACUUUCGAAAUCUCAGUAUAAAGCAUUAUUUCCUGAAAAAUCUUUCAGCUAUCUCCUCUGGAGUCCUGGAAAAACUCACACCUGAGUGCCCCUUUAUUCUAUAGUGUUCAUUUGCUCUUCAGUGUUCUUCAAAGCUGUUGAGAUCAUACAAAACUGCUUAAAAGGUCAGAUCACUAAAUGGUUUGAAGGUACUUCACCUCAGUAGUUCAAAGGUCAUUUAGCUCAGUGAUGUGUAGCUAACAUCUGCCUGCUACUUAUUUCACUUCAAGUUUUUACAAGGUGCUAAUUGUGUGCAACCAGUACUAUUCUAAACGCAUGAGAAUGGCAUCAUGUCAUUUCCGUAGCUACAGCUUUAAAUCACCAGAGGCAACAGCAGCUGUGACACAUGCACACUGACGUUUAGGUACAUUAAGAAGUCAUGAUACAUGUAAUUUUAGAUUCAACACAACUUCUACUUAAUAUGCAUACAUAAAAUCUAUAUUGGACAAAUGACCACAGAUACUUAUUUAGAAAAUACAAAUUAAAUUAAGCUCUGUAUAACAUGAGAACUUUUUUAAGAACAAAAGUAAUCCAGUGAUAGUUGUCAGUUGGUGGUGAUGAUGGUUUGUCAGCAGUUUACACUAUUGGUGUGGGGGGAAAAGGCAGUGGAGAUUUCUUGAAUAAGUUUAGUCUGAAACAGAUAUACCUCUUAUGAGUAAAAGUUUCAAUUUGAAUCUAUCAUUAAUCAAAUUCACUGGUUUCACAAAUGGGAGGUUCAUUUUUUUAAGCUGAGGUUGGAUAAGGUCACAGAUAUGCAUAAACAGGCACUGGUUGCUAAUUCUACACAUGUCAGAGGGUGUCUUCUGUGUUUCUUUGAAACUGUUCUUUUGAUUUCAACAAAGUUACUAAUUUGUCAAUUCCAAUAACAGUUUCAGUAAUCAUCACAUUCAACCUCUUAGCUUGCAGACUCUAAGAAAAUGCAGUGUUGUAAAGUACUUUGUUCCCAGUAAACUAAGAUUGAAAAUAAAAAAUGUUAAUAAAUGAGUCCACAAAUUGGACAGCUUAUUGUUGUGCAUCCUUGCAGAGCAAAGAGCAGACUGGAAAGUUUGGUGUGUCUGUGGCUUUGGUUUGAUCAGUUGAUCUAAACAGAGAUUAGAUGUGACAGACAACAAUAGAAACUAAAAAGGACUGGCUGUAAUACUGACGUUUUGAUCAGGUCAUGUGCAGUGAUGCACACAAGAUACACCAACAGAUGGAUGAAUGCCAGUACACAGUGUCAGUUUAUCCCAUUCAUCUGCCUAUAAAUGCUUUAUCUUGACUGGGAGACAAUCAUCGGGAAUAAAUGGGAGACGAAACAAGGCUGGUGUAUCUAAAGGAAAUGUGGCUGCAUGGUUACAAAUGUUAUUGACUGUAAAAUCAUUUUAUUUGGACAAGGGAGUGAAAACUAGUGAAAGCUCUAGCAUUGUUUUUAAGGCUCCAAGUAAGUAUAGAAACCCAGUCUUUCAGAUUUUAAGGCAGAUUUUUUUCUCUACUUCAAAAUUUCUCUCUCUAGUAUUUCAUAAGGUUGUUAAUUUUGUCCCUACAUGUUUUAUGCUUGGAUGUAACUUUGAGCCGCCAGUGAGCUGACCAGUUUUGACGUUAAUGUGUCAAGAUGACAAAGAUUUCAUCACAUUACACUGAACCCGACUGCAGUGUUGAUCACAAGGACAGUGUUACAUAAAUAAAGAAAACGAAUAAUCUGUCAAGUUGUUUUACACACAGUCAUGACAACAAACUAAAGAAACACACACAAAAUUAUAAAACGUGGCUAAAGACUGAAAACUGCAUAGUAAAUGGAAGGAUUUGUAUUUGUGUACUUUUUUGGGGUUCCUUUUACUAAGGUGUGUUUAGUGUGUUUUCUUUUGGCUUAGAUUAGAUUUGGAUAAGAUUUCCAUGUACUGAAUGUUAAAAAACUAUAUGACAGCUCAUCUGUCUGUGUGUACCUCACUCAUUGUACUGCCUUAGGCCUCUGUGCGGCACUUACUGAGAAUACGCCCAGACAUGUCCAAGAACAAAAUUACCACAGGCACACGCACACAUGCGCACACUGCAGAGAUACAAGCACGUGCGUGCGUACACACACACACUUAGGUGCAACACAUACGCACACAGAGCCAUGGACUGUGGUUAAACCAGCUGCUCAGCUGGUUUACAGCCCAGAUAAGGCAGUCCAAUCCCACUCUCACACCAUGGAUUCACUUACUAGUAAACUCAACAACAACCGCUGACCUCAAACAGCCAGUUAGAAAAAUCCUAAAUGUACAAGCUGCCCUCUUUAAUGUGCUGUUCUAUCCAAAGUACAAAUGAAAUGGCAAUGACACAUUUGUAGUCAUAUCUAAUUAUACUCCUGGUUUGGGAACUGUUUACUGAAGACAGGAAAUAUUCACGAGACCCAUUUGUACUUGGCUGCUUUAUUAUUAAAUUUUUUUGAGACAAUUUUGCAAUAUUGAUGACAAAGAAAAAAAUGUUUCCCUGUAAAUCCAUCUACAUAUCAUCUUUAACAUCAGGAAAUUGAAAAGAUAAAAUAAGAAAGAUCAGGGGAAUCAGGUGCAGUUCUUUGAUCUGAUGUUAAUUCAACAAAAUGCAGCAAACUAACACUCCUUCAUAAACUCAGAUACUGAAUCUGGAGUACAUCCCCUUAUUGUUUCCUCCACCCUUGACAGUGGGGUUUUCCAUGGUAGCAAAUAUUCUUAUCUAUGAAGAAAUAGUCAUCCUCAGCAGGAUAUAGGACAACCUCCAGAAUUUAUGGGCUUGUUAUGAACCGCCUUCACAACAUGUAAUAAAUUAGGUAAUCAUGUAACUGCAUAUGUAGGCCAGUAUAUUAAUGAAGCAAACAGCUUAACACAGUAAUUUGUGAUACUAGAGUUAUCAGUGUCAUCAUGAAUGUGAAAACAGUCUCAGCCAAUAAUAUAAAUGCAGUCACUUUUUCAUUAGGUCUUUUCGCCAUGUAUAUGAAUAUAAUUAUUUGCAGUAUAGCCUAAAACUGCAUAAAUUAAUCAUCUUAUGUAGCACUAAUGACCUCUCUGCCCUUCUGCAUGUGUUAAGAAUGCAUCAGGCAUGAAAAGCAGCAGCAAGACAUCUGUAACAACAGAUAGCAGAACAUAAGAGAACAUUAAACAUGCAGUUACUAGCUCAUCUGUACUGUCAAAAGAAAAAAAAUCUGUACUCUGGUUAGAGCUGCCAACUACAUGUAACUCUAGAUAAAUCAUGUAAAAGGGAAGUACCAUAAUAAGAAAAGGAGAAAUAACUUUAAAAAGUGGAAUGUAUAUAUAUAUAUAUAUAGGUACCUAUAAGCUAAUGUUUUUUUUGACAAUAAGAAAGAGAAAGCAAGCAAAGCCAAAGGGUGCUUCCAAAGAAAUCUUUUUAUAGAAUAUUGUUAAAUUUACCCACAUUAAAUAUGAGGAAAUGUUGCUUGGGAAAAAUAAAUAUGGUGUGUUUUAUUAUGUUAUAUAUGCUUAUAUUUUACUGAUAAAUGACCUCUUUGGGUUGUGCCAAUCAUGUCUAUAAUGUCUCAGAACUAAAUGCAGAAGUAGGACAUUUGAGUACCAGCAACCCUUUUAUGGAGGAAGUCAUGGUGGCUAAACAUCAAAAUGUCAAACAUUUUGUAUAUUUCUAGUAAUUAAAUUAAAUUUCUUAACUAUGAUCAACAUCGGAGCUGCAGAGAUGAUUCAUGCGAUGGCUGAUUUGAUAGAUAAAUGUGAAAAUGUGCAGCUUUUCUUAGUCUCACAUUGUAGUAAAUGCUUUUUGGAUUUUUAUUGUUUAUAAUUGAUUGUUUUCAAAUAAGAAAAUCAAUUAACCAAAAUACUAUACUUCCUCCUAAUAACUAUGUGAGCUUUUCAAAGUUGAAUCUAUCUAUCGCAGAAGAUGAGAAACACUCACUUUCCUGUGCUUCCAAAAUACAGCCUGAGUGCCAGUGGUGCCAGCAAUUUAUUUGGCUUGUGGGGGAACAGAGAGAAAAGAAAGUGUAGUCAUCUACAGUUCAUAUCAUACUAUAAAACAGCAGGGCAGAAUGAGACCAUUUCAAAUCUUUUGAGUUUUCAUACACGGACUUUGAAAACAGACUACAGUUGGUGUCAAGGAAUCCAACAGCCACCUCACUAAUGGUUAAAAAAUAUAAAACAGCUAAACCAACAUAAAACACCAACAAACAAAUCAUAAAUACUAUAUUAAAGUGGAUUUUACCUGUACAGCUUUUAGCUAUGUGCUGGUUCCUUAAAGCAGGACUUGGUCAUCAAAAUGUUAAAAAUCUGCUCUAGAAAAACAAACAGAAACAAUAUCUGAUCUGACUUCAGUGUUAGCAGACAACACAACCUGCCCUGUCAUAACUAUCACUCAAACUAUGAGAAAUCACUGUACAUUGUUGACUUUCAUAUUUUUUGCUAAAUGUGGUAAAGGUUGGGCUCCAGUCACACAGUCCUGGAGCAAGUUGGUGACCUCCUGGACAUCACUAGUCUUUAAGAAAAAAUAUGCAUAACUGGUAUCUUCAGCGAGUGGUUGCUAAAGUCCCAAUCAUGCAGGCACAGAGACUGGUCACUAACCCCUUGGCAACAACAGGUGGAGUAUGAAAAGUGUGUGUUUCCCAACCAGUUGGAGAUGGGAGUCACCAGGCUUAAUCUGGUGCGCAGAGGUAUGGUCCUGCAUUGACGGUCAACAUUGUUAAUUUUGUGUUUGUGGUGCAGUUUGUCUUAGGUUUAUUUCUGUUCUGGAAGUAGUUGGCAAGUGUUUGCAGACAAAUCAGUAUCUUCUUUGCAGCCAAUUUUAUUUAGCAACAGUUAGCAGCCUCCAGCAUGCCAUUGUGUUCAUAAAACAAACCAGCAGACACUGUGGUUGGCAAACAGUAUCGAUGAUUCGGGUAAGUUUCAGUCAUUUACUAAAUGACAAGGUUCUGAUGCAUUCAUGGUCAUCUUUCCGAAGAAGCAUAUUUGCAGUGUGAUGCUUUUCUUUUUGUUCUUUUUUUUAAGCAACUAGGACAUGAGUAAAACCAGCCAGUCAGAGUCAGCUGAAGGAAGGAGUAAUGCCAAAGAAGGGUUUACUCCCAAUCAUGGGUAUAUAAAAUGAGAUCUACAACAUGAUGUGAAAGGAACCUUAAACUAUGUUUUGAACGGUUCAGAAUUAGAUUUAUACUCUGAUAUAAGUUUACGCUGUGACAAAAAUGUAUACAGUUAAAAUUUAUACAGAAAAAUUAUAUUUAAAAGACACAUAUUUGGACUAAUUGACAUUCUAUCACAUUCUACAAACUGACUUUGGGGUGGUGCAUGUUAUUCCAAAACAAAUCUGCAACUGUAACUCUGCAAGGUCUGGUUUUCUAUAAUUUGGCUAAAAUGUUUGCCAGUAUUUGACCUAUUAUUACCAAAGUAGUACUCUUUUUGUUGUUGUUGGUGGUGGUGGUUUUUUUUUUGUUUUUUUUACAUAAUUUGUCUGUCUAAAACAAAAUAUUUGCAGUAGGGUUGAAGUAUGAUGAAGACCUUUCAGGCUUAAAUGUCAUCAGCUAAGACACAAAAGACAGAAGGAGGAAGAAGACAGGAAGGAAGGAAGGCGUUUUUGCAGACUUUAAGACAGGGAUGGAAAGAUUCAUGUGAGAAAUAUUUUUGAUUUAGUUUCUCUUUCUGUGUGACUCAGUUUUCUGAAACUCCUGCCUAGCUGACACAUCGUCUCGCCUCGAUCCCACAGCUCAAGGAAGGCAACACAGCAGAUGAAUUUGUUCUGAGCAAUCAUUUCAAGUGCUGUCACACUUAACAGUACAGUAAAUAAAGACUCAUGAUUUCAUUCAGCAACAACAUUUAAUGGAAAAACCAAGGGCUUUCAGGUGCUUCAUUUGUGGUUGCACAGUUAAGUAUAUUUAAGGGUAAAUGGAGUGGAGUUAGUUUAGCUUACGACACUACUUUAUUCUACAAUGUAAUCCUCUCGAAGUUCUCCUUUCUGUAGAAAAGCCAGACUAAGGAUCAGGAGUAUUUUAUAUCAAACAUCCACUUCCACUGUCACAAGACAAACUUGUGCCAUUUUCUACAACUUCCUUAUGCAAAUAAAUUGCAACAGCAAAUGUGUUUCAAGAGAAGCAUAGUGCAAUCAGUUUCUGAUUAAUAAGAUAAAAAUUACAAUAUUUGGCAAGUCCACCACCAAAAACUUUCCAUUUGCAGUGAUUACAGCUUUAUUAAACCUUUUUAAGCACGCACAGCAUUUCAUUUUAAAUUUAGGUAAAGAUUGUGACUCCCGACAUGACACAAGUUUUUGCUUAUUACUAGCCACAGAUGGGACUGAGUCACACACUUUGUACACCCUAUCAUCCAGCCUAACCUUAUGCAAACUCUGCUACGGUUCAAAAAUGUAGUGUUUCAAUUAUUGACGUUUAUUCUGAAUAGCAAUGUAAUUUCUCAAGUCAUUUUCCCACAUGCACUGUAGUCCUGAAGUCUUCUCAACACUUUUGUGAUGCAUCUGCAUUUGACAAGGAUCUGACACAAUCAUCAGAUACAACCAGGGCUAGCCCAUGUGGCAUCUAAUUGGCAUCUCUUAGCAAAAACAGCAGUCUGAAGAAUUUGCAUUAUUAUGCACAAUAUGUGUCCUGCCUACUGCACACUAUCCAGCUAGCACUCUUAUCAAAACCAAAUGUAAUAUUUCCAGACGAGAGACCAUCUCUCACCAUGUACUCCAGUACAUGUGAAAGAGAACAACUCUGGACAAUAUCCCAAUGUCCUUUUAUGCAUGAAAAUAAUGCUAACAUGAGAUUAGAAAAUACAAAACUUUUCCUAACCUUCAUACUUAAUCAUGCUUAGAAACUAUGUAGAGUACAGUUCAACUAUGAGUAGAUAUUGUAUUGAAACAGUAGACAUUAUAAGGCAACAUGUUAAUAUUUUUGCAAUACAUAUAUUUCAGAUACAUUUAGGAUUAACAUGUUAUGACCCGUCAAUAACAACAUGUUCUCAUCAUGAUCAGUAAUAAACACAAUCAAAGCAAAAUAAUGUUGCAAAAGGGACUUUUUACUUUGAACACCACAAAGAGAAAUACAUGCAAGUUGUAACAAAUUAGAACUGCCAUUUAAAGGUGAAUUACUGUGUAAUGUGUCAGAAACAAGUCAUUCGUUUUAUAAAGUAGUUGUCAACUAAUCAAGCCUUAUCUCUGAAGACAUUCUUUUUUUCCCUUGUCAUUGUUGACGCUAGUAGUUCAGUGAAAUAUGUUUAUCAAAGAGGAAGAGCUGAGGCAUAGAUCUAACCACUGGCACUCCAUAUGGCAUCUUUGCCUGAAAGGAAAACUGGAUUUGGUCAGAAGGGUUUGUAAUGGUGCCCACAGUUUACAGUUUUACUUAAACAUUUUAUUUUAUUUUAUUUUUCCUCUGGAAUGAAGUUAUAGCUCCAAAUGAUAGCUGGUUUACAAGCAAAGGUGGCUGCUGAAUCAUAAGGGAAAGCUUUUGAAAUGUGUUGAGAGAGCUCACUCAGCAUAAACAGAAAUGCAUCUCAUGCAUCUGUGACUAAUAAAGAGUUCAUAUUUCAUAUUUCGUGACCACUUUCGUUAACUGUCAAGGUUAAAAUGUGUAAAGUUGGAACUCUGCGUAGCGCUCAAUGGUCACACUAAUUUGAAACAAAGUGAUUAGAAUCCAGUCCUGACAUGUGAAACCACACACAGAUACACACAUACAAAUGUGACACAAUGUGCUAUUUUGAAAGUUGUUGAGUAGAUAACAUUUGCAUCAGUGGUGUGGGGCAUAUGGUGUGGCCAUUGCAAACGUUAAAUGUCAGAUCUAUGUUUGUUAGUUUGUUGCUUUGCACUCUGUGUUUUUGUGAUGUCAAAGUCAAAUGAGAAAAGAUGAAAACGUGUCUACAUUUACAACAUCUAAAUUUAAAAAAAGGAAUUUAGUGAAUUAUGAUCUGUCUAAAAAUUGUUUACUCACUUGGAACAAAACGAGACACAAACUAGUGCUUUCCUGUCAUGAAAAAGACAUGCGGUCACUGGUUUUCUUCUGUUCAGAGUAAAGAAAAUGUUUUUUCCCUUGCAUUUUGCAAAAAAUAACCAUUGGCA